rnacentral:rRNA from 1 species
AUGCUUGAGGAUGGAGGCCUCGCCGUCUUCCUGCCUUGCCUGUGUCCGCGCAAGAGCGGCAGCACAACCCCGAGCCUCAACCCGACCAUCGUUGGCGCGCCACUUCGGGAGCACCAGCAGGACCCUCGCGCUCCCCUUUGUCUCUCUGCCUUCUUUCCCUUCCCCAUUCUCAACUCUCUCUUUCUCUGUCUCAUUUUGGACAGGGAACUGAAGGAGGCCGCCAUGGCCUUGAGUUUCACCACCGCCCCGUCGCCCGGAUCCGUUGCUCCGCGCCCGUCCAAGGCCUUCCUCGCCCAGAUCCGCCCAACACUGGCCUGCCUCGCCUCUUCCGCGUCACCGAAGCCCCGGCAACCCCUCCUAGACCUCCUGCUGCCGCCAAGUUGCCGCCACGCCUCUGCUUCCCCUACAUCGCCCCUUCCCUCUGCGUCGUCCUCAUUCGAGCAGAGAACGAGCGCACGCUGCCGCCGCGCGUUGACCCGCGCCUGGGUCGCGUCCAGCACGCCAAGGCCCGGCGACUCUACAGCCUCCAGCCGGCCUGUUGGCCCAAUUUCCGGUCACGUUGCGAUUGUGAGGAUUGGUUCGGCUACAUUGGUUCAUCUACUUCAUGGAUUCGGUCUUCUUCCUAAUGGCAUUUUAGGCCAGAUGACUGUCACCUUGGAUCUCACUACUAUCUUUGCUAUGCUAGUUGACUCGAUGCUAUCGCUAUGUCGCGCUACCCACCACUUGUUUAUGAAGCCUCCCAAAUUGCCAUGUUAG